AAUUCUGAGAAUUGCCUAAAGAAACCUGAGUAGGCUUGCCAAAUUUAGUGCUGAGUUAAUCAAGCAUAAAAAACGCAUGUUCCUCACCUCAAGAAUAAUUAAGCAUGGAAGUGCCGCGACAUGUGAACGUUGAAGCAUGAAUGCGUCGUCGAACCAAGAAUGUCGAGAAACUGAGGCCUUUGAACUGUGUUUAUUUUCUUUCGUUAUCAUUUCAUUCUGGGCUGGGCUUUGUACUACGUGUUUGCGCAGCUACAUUGUGAAACGAGAGCAGUGCCUUCUCCUGAAAGGAAGAUGGAUCAGUUCAAGCUAUUUAUGUAAGUUCCACGUCUACAGCAUUACUUCAGUGGCAGGUUUCUUUGUUUCCUUCCAAAAGGUCACAGGCGUGCUUUAUAUAGACGGAAAGUAGGUUGUCUCACGUAUUUCAAACUGUAUGUUGGAAGAAUUGGGGAAGGCUUUCCAAGGUUCGAGGUCACGUUGACAGGUUCUGACGGCAAAGUUAAAAAAGCACUGAUUGUAUAUAGAAUACCAACAAUAUGUUCACCUUUGAAGAAAUACGAGCGCCUGGUCUCGCGGUGCUUCCCACCCUAUUUACCGGUAGGCACCAGAUGGCAACAGGAAAAGCUUCCCAAUUUCGCUCAUGUUCUCCACUGUAUGGCAGGUGAAAUAUGCUCUUUCAGAUGUCCGACCCUCUGCUUUGCGCGCACUUAAAAGCAUUCAAGCUCUGGCACUGAAGAUCCUUAUCAGGACCAACCUCGCAUCGCAUCUGCCUGGGUCAGCACUGCCGAAGCUCGUGACUGGCCAGUUCAAAGAUUCAUCUUUGAAGACCCGUUCUUUGUUGACCUACGACAACCCACACGGCAUCAGUGUCAACCUCUGACCAAGCUACCGUCAUUACGGCAGCGCUCCAGUUUUCCUAUGGCUAUUGUCGCGCUACACCGUUAACAUCCAAGUAUGAACGCUGCUUAAUCCCUGCCAAUUCGCUGUCGGUGAUGGGUUCGCCACAGGUAAUGUUACCUAUUCAUGGAACAGGGAAGGCGUCGAUGUCAAUGGUAGACCCCAAACAGCUAAUGUUCGCUUUACGUGUGCGAAUGAAAUAAA